UACGGAGGGUGCAAGCGUUAUCCGGAUUCACUGGGUUUAAAGGGUGCGUAGGCGGCGCAGUAAGUUGGGUGUGAAAUCCCUCGGCUUAACCGAGGAAUUGCGCCCAAAACUACUGUGCUCGAGGGAGAUAGAGGUGAGCGGAACUUAGGGUGGAGCGGUGAAAUGCGUUGAUAUCCUAAGGAACACCGGUGGCGAAAGCGGCUCACUGGAUCUCUUCUGACGCUGAGAAACGAAAGCUAGGGGAGCGAAGGGG
rnacentral:rRNA from 1 species